AUGGAACGAGUGGGAGAUGUCAUGGUCGCCCGCGGAAGCUCCGUCGUCACCGGGAUCGUUCCUCCGGCCUCGGCCCCGAAUCCGCGCAUCCUUGACGUUUCCCGCGCCUCUGCCUGCGUUGCUGCAUCGCCAGAGGUCGCCUCACGGCGCCAAGUUCACCUUCGCCGCUCCCCGGCAACAACGCUGCUGCCUCCCCUGUGCUGCUUCUCUUGCCCGAGCUCCUCAAGUCCGGCCGCCGGAGAUCCCUCGCAUCAAGCCGCCGCCGCUUCAAUCGCGCGACGCUGCGCCUUCGCCAAGCUCCGCCAUCGCGCCCUGCUUCCCCUGUUUCGAGCAGACGAACAAGGCAGCCAUGGCCCUGUUUGA
rnacentral:rRNA from 1 species